CAGCAGCCGCGGGAAUACGUAGGGUGCGAGCGUUAAUCGGAAUUACUGGGCGUAAAGCGUGCGCAGGCGGUUACAUAAGACAGAUGUGAAAUCCCCGGGCUCAACCUGGGACCUGCAUUUGUGACUGUAUAGCUAGAGUACGGUAGAGGGGGAUGGAAUUCCGCGUGUAGCAGUGAAAUGCGUAGAUAUGCGGAGGAACACCGAUGGCGAAGGCAAUCCCCUGGACCUGUACUGACGCUCAUGUACGAAAGCGUGGGGAGCAAACAGGAUUAGAUACCCCCGUAGUCCCUGUCUCUUAUAC
rnacentral:rRNA from 1 species